UAGUAGCAGCAUCUGAAAGAAUCCAUCUGUGCAUUCACCCACUUGGCAGACAAAUGGCAAGGUUGUGUAGAGAAGCUCCAAAGCAUCCACAGGUGAGUUUUACCCAUGAAAUUCUCAUUGUUAAAUUUCUGUGCAUUUAGGAUUUGUUUUUUUAAAAAGGUUUUCUUUUGAUUUUUCUGGCAGAAGUAGCCCAGUUCAGUACCAUGGCACAUGAAAAACCAGAUUUGCAAGUUUUGGAGGAGAUUAAAAGUGAAUUAUCAGACUGCUCAUGCAUAGAUGAUGAAGAUGAUAAUGACUUUGACAUUGGUCAUGUGAGCCAAACUUCCUGUGACAGUGAAAUGGAGCAAGAAUUGACCCAGACAGGCACAAGGAAUGCAGAACUCCUUGAUUCAGAAUGCAACAUUCAACAAUUGAUUUACCACUGUCUAAUUGAUGUUACAUUUGGUGACAGAGCACAAGUUGAUCAGCAUGGGCGUUCUACACAAGAACAAAGCAGAAAUUCCAAAUGAAAUGUUCCAAUUUCAAAACAGAGGAUUUUAUAGUACAAUCUUUGGAUUUCAGAAAGAUAUAAUAUUGGCCUCAUAUGGCAAAGAAAAACAAACUGAUACUGCUGAUGUCAACAUUGCACCAUGAUAGAACUACUGAUAGGGAAACCUUGACAAAAUGAAAGCCUGAGAUGGAAACUUUCUACAACAAAACCAAAGGUGGAGCAGAUAUUGUUGAUGAGUUAUGCAGCAACUAUGAUAUCACUCAAACAAAGGCUUGGCUAAUGGUGGUGUUUUACUGAAUCCUAAGCAUGUGUGGCAUAAAUAGUUUGAUAGUUUACAAAGAAAAUAACAAGUACUACAAAGAAAUUUUCUUAGAAGGUUGGGACUGGAACUCAAGAGAUCAUUUACAGCAGAGAAAAACCAAAAUGUUUCUGCCUAGGGAGCUAUGCAAAAAAAAAUUGUGGAGCACAGUGGUGUGUUGACAGGUGAACAGGCAGGUGUAGCAUCCCAAAGACCUGCUAUGACAACAGGAAAACCAGAAGAUGUCAACUGUGCCCUACAAGAAAGGACAGGAAAAAAAAACAUAUGUGCUAUCAGUGUAAGCAAUACUUGUGGAUGGAACAUGCAGUUUCCAUGUGUAAAGACUUCCUUGGGGUGACAGUUGAAGCAAAGAUUAUUUCUAUGGUAGACUUUUGUUUGUAUUUACCUUGUAGCUCACAUAGGUUUUUAUUUCUGAUGUUGUCUUUUAGGUUUUGUAAGUGAGUACACAGCUGACGUGAAAAUGUUGAUGUCUAUUUUAAGCAGUCAUUAUAUAUUUGAUACUUUAUUUUAUUGAUAUCUUAUUUUCCUGCUAAGUGGACAUUGUGAA
rnacentral:lncRNA from 1 species